AGAGUUUGAUCCUGGCUCAGGAUGAACGCUAGCGGCAGGCUUAAUACAUGCAAGUCGUGGGGCAGCAUGUCCCGCAGCAAUGCGGGAUGAUGGCGACCGGCAAACGGGUGCGGAACACGUACUGAACCUUCCUUUAAGUGGGGAAUAGCCCAGAGAAAUUUGGAUUAAUACCCCGUAACAUAUAGAAGUGGCAUCACUUUUAUAUUAUAGCUCCGGCGCUUAAUGAUGGCAGUGCGGCUGAUUAGGUAGUUGGCGGGGUAACGGCCCACCAAGCCUGCGAUCAGUAACUGGUGUGAGAGCACGACCAGUCACACGGGCACUGAGACACGGGCCCGACUCCUACGGGAGGCAGCAGUAAGGAAUAUUGGUCAAUGGACGCAAGUCUGAACCAGCCAUGCCGCGUGGAGGAUGAAGGUCCUCUGGAUUGUAAACUUCUUUUAUCUGGGAAGAAAUCCAUCCAUUCCUGGAUGGUUGACGGUACCAGAUGAAUAAGCACCGGCUAACUCCGUGCCAGCAGCCGCGGUAAUACGUAGGGUGCGAGCGUUAAUCGGAAUUACUGGGCGUAAAGGGUGCGCAGGCGGCCCCGCAAGUCAGGCGUGAAAUCCCCGGGCUUAACUUGGGAAUGGCGCUUGAAACUACGGGGCUGGAGUGUGGCAGAGGGAGGUGGAAUUCCACGUGUAGCGGUGAAAUGCGUAGAGAUGUGGAGGAACACCGAUGGCGAAGGCAGCCUCCUGGGCCAACACUGACGCUCAUGCACGAAAGCGUGGGGAGCAAACAGGAUUAGAUACCCUGGUAGUCCACGCCCUAAACGAUGAUGACUAGUUGUUGGAGGAGUUAAAUCCUUUAGUAACGCAGCUAACGCGAGAAGUCAUCCGCCUGGGGAGUACGGUCGCAAGAUUAAAACUCAAAGGAAUUGACGG
rnacentral:rRNA from 1 species